CAGUCGCCGCGGGAAUACGAGGGGAGCUAGCGUUAUUCGGAAUUACUGGGCGUAAAGCGCACGUAGGCGGCUUUGUAAGUUAGAGGUGAAAGCCCAGAGCUCAACUCUGGAAUUGCCUUUAAGACUGCAUCGCUUGAAUCCAGGAGAGGUGAGUGGAAUUCCGAGUGUAGAGGUGAAAUUCGUAGAUAUUCGGAAGAACACCAGUGGCGAAGGCGGCUCACUGGACUGGUAUUGACGCUGAGGUGCGAAAGCGUGGGGAGCAAACGGGAUUAGAUACCCCGGUAGUCCCUGUCUCUUAUAC
rnacentral:rRNA from 1 species